CACAAGCCCAGCUGUAUGGAAACCCUGUAAGCAGGUGCUGCAUUGAACUCUCUGAUUUUGUCACUUGCUGUGUCCCUUGCCCUGCUUUCCAGAGACUCAUCCGAGAGAGAGAGGCAGAAACCACAAUGUCUUUUAUGACUUAGUCCUGGAGACCAUCACUUCAGCUGUAUUCUACUGGUCACACAAACCACGAGAUACGGUGAGCCAGAACCACCCAGCUACAC